rnacentral:rRNA from 1 species
UACGGAGGGUGCAAGCAUUAAUCGGAUUUAUUGGGCGUAAAGAGCUCGUAGGCGGCUCAGUAAGUCGGGUGUGAAACCUCCAGGCUCAACCUGGAGACGCCACCCGAUACUGCUGUGGCUUGAGUCCGGUAGGGGAGCGUGGAAUUCCUGGUGUAGCGGUGAAAUGCGCAGAUAUCAGGAGGAACACCAGCGGCGAAGGCGGCGCUCUGGGCCGGAACUGACGCUGAGGAGCGAAAGCGUGGGUAGCAAACAGG